UCAGGUGCAUGCAAUGCACUGAGUGACCAGAAGGGAUGGAGCCAGGAUCCACCCCUUCCCAGACCUUAUUUAAGGAUUGGCAGUGGUAUCAGUAGUAUUUUGUUGGAGGUCCCUUUGUUCUUGAGGUCUUCUAGGGACCCAUUUAAGAGCUGACUACCAGGGGGGAAGGAUCUCUUUUGGAGAUUCCUCCUUUGGAAUUUUGCAGCGAGCCCAGGAUGUGGACUUUUCUCUAUUUAAAUGCUGCAAACAAGUCUCUGGUUUGAGAUGGCUAUAUGUGGCAGAUAUAUAAGAAUGGUGGGGAGAUGCCCUGAGGCAGGUUUGAAGAUGAAGAUAGUUAGACUACUGAGUUGCAACUCUGAAUGUCACAGAAAAUGAAGGCUGUAGAAUAAGAGCUCUUGCUUAGAAUUACAGCUGUCAAGAAACUAACCUGGAGAGCAGAGAACAGAAGAGGUUUUGUUUCGUAGGAACACAGAAUCAUAGAACCCUUGGAGCUGAGAGGGAUCUUUAAAGGUCAUCUACUCCAACUCCCCCACGGUGAACAUGGAUACCACAAUAGAUCAGUUUGCCUGGAGCCUAAUCAAGCCUUGCCUUUCAAGUCUCCAGGAACAGGACAUCCACCACACCUCUGGACAACAUGUGCCAGUGCUUCCUCACCCUUGCUGUAGAAGAUUUUUUCCUUAUACCCGCUCCAAGUCUACCCUGUUGUGCUUGAAACCAUUUCCCCUUAUUUUAACACAACAGUUUCAGAUUUAAAGAAAAAUCUUGGCACUGCUCCUACUUAGUUCAUGUUAAUGUAAUUUCAGAACCUUUAUUAUUAAUCAUAUCUCUAUUUGAUUGAAGUUACACAGAAAUAAUUUCUAAAAUCUGAGCAGGGAUCACACCUGUAUCCAGAAGAAAAUGUCUGUACUUGGUUUUGUUUUGCUCAGAAUUGGAGCUAUUCCAUCUCUGCUCAGCAGUUACCUUUGUUUUGAAAUUCAGUGUAAAAACCCAUGCUGAACAAUGGAGGAAAAAGAAACCCGCAAUCUGAUAUGUGAGAUUGUGAAAUAGGUUAUGAAGGCAUUAAUAUUGUCCUUGGAGAUUAUUAAGAAAACACUGUGAAUUAUUACACACCUUUUUGAGCAAUAUCCUUCAAAUCAGAGGGAAAUCAGAAGGAAGCAAAUUCUUGUUUGUUAUCUUUCUUUAAAGUAUACUCUCUCGAGCAUAGGAAUGCAGCAAAGAAUACUUUUUUCCUCCAAUACUGUACAUUGGUUUUCACUUCUUCCGCUAGGAUAAGCAGAUAUGAAAUGCAGCUAAUGCUUUCUCUGAAAGGGACAGCUCAAUAAUAACUUAGAAAAGAAUUUUACUGGCUCCAGACAUUCUUUGUAAUGACAUGAUGUACGUCUUAAAGGAACAGUUCUAACCAUGACUAAAAAACAUUUCAGAUUAAUGUAUAACAGUACUAUAUGCACCAACAGGUAAGUCUUCAUUUACUUAUUUGAAUGAGUCAAAACAGUUCACAUGCUGAAUUCCUGUGUGUUUUGUCUGGUGUGUAAGAAGGUAGAAUUGUUUCUCCCCUCUCUCAUGAAUUUGAUACAGAAAUAUCAGGUUGUCCAGAUUUCAGUUACUGUUGUAAUGCGCCUGACAGAUUUAUAGAUUUUAUUUUGCUAAAAUCAGAUAAGAUUUCAGGUGAGAUAAGCAUGGGGAAUAUCUUGUUUUGUCAUGUGCCUACUAGCUCUACUUCUCCCAGGCUACUGAUGUUAAUUAAUAGCCAAAUGCAACAGUAGAUUAGUAACUAUCUUAAAAGCUUCAUGAAAAUUCCCAGCAAGGAGGUAAUGAAAGUACCUUGUGAACUUCCAGAGGCAGGUAAACAACCUGCACGCAAAUUGAUUAGCAGCUGGGUGAUGGUACCUACUAGAGUGAACAGACAAAUGAGUUUUUUUCCUUGUAUUAAUCAGAUUAAUAACAGCCAUUUUGUAUAAAGGACUUUCACUUUGACUCGAUGUAAACUGCUUUCUUCAGUUCUCCUGCCUAGACAGAAAACAAGGAAUGAUUCAGAGGAACUGUUGCUCUUCAGAUUUUCAGUUGUUCAAUAUGAUAUGUAAUAUGAACCGCCCCUUAUGAAGGCUCACUAAAAAAAGGUAGGAAAGCCUCUGAAGAAUAUCUGCAAUCUGGUUCACUGAGCAGAUAAUCCAAUUUGGUUAUCUUCUGAUCUCUUGUAGCAUCCCAUCAUCCUUCUGAACUGUUUGCAGAGAAUUCACCUGCACUUGAAUAUGCUUAAUUUAUCUGAGCACUUUUCUUAAAGGAGAAAAAGCCAGCUAAACUACUGAUGGUAUGAAAAUAAGUUAAAAGCGCUUGAAAAGGAGCUCAAGUGAGGGAUCAGCAUUUUAAUCAUAGACAACAAUUCCUGUGCACAUCUUGAAAGUGUUUGCAAUAGUACUUGGAAUUUUGGUGUUUGCCUGCUUGAUAGACAAUCAUUGAUCUGUGAAAUAGAAGUGAUCACACUAGCUGAGUGCUUACACAGUAAGACUAACAUGAAACUUCAUAUUGAAAAACUGGCCUGCAAUUCUGCUUUUCAAAAAUAUAUUCAACAACUUAACAGGAUAUCUCUGAAUGUGUAAACUGUCUCCCUAUUUUUUAAUCUCUUAAAGUUUUGAGUGUACUGCAACUUGUAGAAAAUCUGUUGAACAGGACACAAGGAGGUGAAUCACUUGAGAUGCAGUAUUAAGACACAUAUUGUAGGCUGUAUAACAAUGAUUUGAAAUUAACAUAGCAUUUACAGCUUUCUAUUUGCAUGGAAUAUAUGGAAAAAAAUGGUAAGACCUACUUCAAGAAAUGCAAAAUAGUGUAUGCAAUUUGUAUGCAAAUUUACAGCACAUUUCUGCUUAAGGUAAAUGUGUGGCUUUUAUCAGUUUUGCAGUGGAAGUGUUAUUCAAAUUAGAGUUUAUAUGCAGUGCAGUUGGCUUUCCAGGCAUUCUCAGUUUGUUCUGCAGUCCUGUAAUGAAAAGCAAGGGCCAUGACCUCACCAGUGCUUUGGAACUUUCUGAAAUAUUUUAAGAUGUUCUGUGCUCUGAGGCUAAGAAAUAGUAGAUACUAAUGUUGUUAAAUAUACUGACUUUCUCCUGUUGCUAAGUUAGAGAAGAGAGACCUUUUUCUGCAGGCAAUUUUCCCCCAGCGUUUCCUUUAAGCGAAGUUUUUACCUGGUUUCCAUUUUGAAACAUAGCAAGAAUGUGACUUAGUGUAUCUGUUUGGAUUUUCAGGACAGUCAAA